GGGUAAUGGCCUACCAAGGCUCGAUGAGUAGCUGGUCUGAGAGGAUGACCAGCCACACUGGGACUGGAACACGGCCCAGACUCCUACGGGAGGCAGCAGUGGGGAAUAUUGCGCAAUGGGCGAAAGCCUGACGCAGCGACGCCUCGUGAGGGAUGAAGGUCUUCGGAUCGUAAACCUCUGUCAAGAGGGAAGAAACCCUUGGAUUCGAAUAGGGUCCUUGGCUGACGGUACCUCAAAAGGAAGCACCGGCUAACUCCGUGCCAGCAGCCGCGGUAAUACUGGAGGGUGCAAGCGUUAAUCGGAAUCACUGGGCGUAAAGCGCUCGUAGGCUGUUUGGUCAGUCAGAUGUGAAAUCCCUCGGCUUAACCGGGGAACUGCAUUUGAUACUGCCAGACUUGAGUGUCGGAGAGGGUGGCGGAAUUCCGGGUGUAGGAGUGAAAUCCGUAGAUAUCCGGAGGAACACCAGUGGCGAAGGCGGCCACCUGGACGACAACUGACGCUGAGGAGCGAAAGCGUGGGGAGCAAACAGGAUUAGAUACCCUGGUAGUCCACGCGGUAAACGAUGAACACUAGAU
rnacentral:rRNA from 1 species